UACGUAGGGGGCGAGCGUUGUUCGGAAUUACUGGGCGUAAAGGGCGUGUAGGCGGUGCGGUAAGUCGGGCGUGAAAUCCCCGGGCUCAACCCGGGGCGGUCGUUCGAAACUGCCGUGCUAGAGUGCAGGAGAGGCGAGUGGAAUUCCCGGUGUAGCGGUGAAAUGCGCAGAUAUCGGGAGGAACACCAAUGGCGAAGGCAGCUCGCUGGGACGUGACUGACGCUGAGACGCGAAAGCGUGGGGAGCAAACAGG
rnacentral:rRNA from 1 species